CCCUUUAUUGUAUUGCAUACAUAACAUUAUUUAUAACGCUUCACAAUAUUGCAUCAGAAGCCACACACACGCACACACACGGAGCACUGGCACACGCACGUACGUAUGCACAGCCUUGCAAGAGCGCAUCACACAGUUACCAGAGUGUACCCAGCAGCAUGUUUUAAUUCUCUCUCCAAGAUCAGCUAGCCGUACGUGCAUGCAUCAGUACACGUACACUUAUUACACUGUUAAGUGUUAUACACGCGUACGUACGUACUCAUACGUGUAUUCUUUAUUGGCAAAACGUAUACAUACAUAUAUAUAGAUAUAUAGUUAAUUUGUCGGCGAUCGAUCGAUCUUGUAUGCUGUGUUGGAGUGGAGCUCCGGCUAACAGCACCGGAGGCACUG
rnacentral:lncRNA from 1 species